rnacentral:lncRNA from 1 species
AAUGGGUAAGUCUGUGCAAUAAUUAUCUUCAGCCUUGGCUUUUCAAGGCCAGCUGUGGGCCCAGUCCUGCAGCUUCUUACUUUGGCCAAGAGUGAAUCGCCUGUGGGGAGUUGUACUUCCCAGAGCAGAUGGAAGCUGUCAGGUUCACAGUCAGAAGUGAUGGAAAGGGAUAAUGUGUAACAGCUCCCUCUGGACAGGAGAGAUCGGAGGAGACAGGUGGGUCUCUCCAGCCAAAGAGAGGAUAUCAGAAAUAAAGAUGCUUUAGAAAGGUGCUUUAACAGGCAAUGAGGUGUCUAUGUUAAAUACCCACAGGAGAAAGCAAUUAAAAGAACUGUAGUUGAUUUAAAAAAAAAAAAAAAAGACCUGAAGAAAAUAGUCUGAGAACGAGCUUUAUCAACAAGGUGCCCUUGAAGUUUAUCAGACCACCUAGAGGUGCAGUAUCCUAGACAAGCAACAAGUUCUGAGAAAUACCCUUCAUCUAAUCUUUUUAUUAUUAUUUUUUUUCCCUACCCUAGAAAGACUGAAGUGUUUUGGUUUGGUUGGAAAAUUGAACUAGCUUGCCAGAGGGAAAGCAAAGGAAACCAGAACAUUUUCCCAAAGAGAAGAUUUUAAUAUUAUUGGUGAGGGGAUUGAUUUUUACUGCAUGUGGAUCCAGCAGCAACUUCUGCUAUCCAUUUUGAAAAGCGAGUUAUAGCUUCCUGUGGGACUUGGAAUAUGGUGGUGCUGGAAUUCCAGAAGUAUUUUGAUCAAUCCAUGUUGAGGAAUGAGAGAAGUUACGGUUCCUCAGAUUGGAUGGACAGUGACUAACCAGUGAAUUCAAACUGUUCUAAGCAUUUGCUGCUUAUGCUUUGGAAAAUGCUUCUUGAUACAGGUAUGAAAACAACCCACAGUUGUGGUCAAACACAGGCUUAAAUUCUGUAGAGAGUUAAUUCUAUGACAGAGCUGUGCAGGAUUUAAAUGAGUUUAAAUUAGAGCAGCAUAGAGCUUGCUGAAAUCUUUGC